UGGUUUCUGAAGCGGGUUGUCGCUCUCCAGUGAUGUGUGAGCUGCAUGGGCUACACGCCGCUCGUCGUACUGCGAAGGAAAAUUUAUAUCAGAUGAUGAGUUUGGAGUAAUUAGUCUUGAUGAAGAAGUAAAGAUGUAAAAAUACGGUUUAUGAUGAUUUUGACGUGAACUGUCCACAAGUAAAAUCAAGGAACAAACUAAGCGUUUCUAUUUUUUUUUUUUUUUAAUUUUCACAAACCGCCUCCCUAGCAGUCGCCCAGUCAAUGUAGAGACAUACAAUACAGAUGCUAUUUGUGGGAGGAUCAAAUCCACUUUUGUAUGAUGAUGGCGAGGUCACCGCUGUUAUAAAAUUACCUAUAUUCAAAAAAGUUUUUUUGUAACAAACCAAAACAAAGCCACACAAUUGUUACAUUAAGUAUUGCAUUACCGCAGAUGAAUAGGAAAAGGAUGUAAAAACAAUGGCCACCCGGGGAUCAGCAUCAAUCAUUGAUGAACACGGGAAGGGCAAUGGCAUGGCGAGAACACGAGAAAUAGAGAGAGCGGGAGCAUAGAGAGGGAGAACAGUGCAAAUAAAACAUAGAUACCCAAAGAGACAAAAUGGUACAGAGAGCUUAAAACGUUAUUAAAGUCUUACAAAGCAUACACGUGGAAAUUAAAGGUAUGCAUGCUUGCUUAGGAACAGACAGGUAAACAAACAGGCAGCCAGACAAAUCGACAGACCUGACAUGCAUACAGGCAGCCAGCCAGACAGACCAGACAUGCAUGCAAGCAUCAAGAGUUGCAGAGAUUAGUCACCGACCAUUCUCCAAAAAAAAAAAAGGGGGGGGGAUGUGUAGCAAGAGUACGCCGACUGGCCAAAACUCGCUGAUAAAAGCCGAAUGGAAGUCGGUUUCCAGAAGUCGCAGCCCACCGCCAGCUCCCGCGAGGGUCCAGCAGCUGCACGUCACAGCCAGUAGUCACUCGGCAUCGCUAACCUCACGUGACACUCAGCCAUGUCUGCCCCUGGCAUCCGCACGUCACUGCUGCUGAAGGUUGCUGCUUUGAUCCUCCUUGUCAGUCUCUGUGGGUCUGGCAGUCACGGUGCCCCGCGCAUCAAACGGGAUUCACAUAGAAUUGUGAUUAGAGCAGAUUCCAGUGAUGGAGACGACCCGUCCGUCAGACUACUGUUGCUACGACAGCUCUGCUUCAAACUGUUACUACAGGUCGGGACAGAACGACCUAGUUCUGUGGAUAACUUCUGCGCUUCUCGAAACCGACUUAACCGUCCUACCUCUUGAGACACGUUCUAAUGGGCAAGCUCUGUCUUCGAAUGGCAUCUUACAACUUUCUCGCGAUACAUUCGAGCACUGAAUUUAUUCUGUAGAUUAAUUUUUACAUCACAUCAGCUCUUGUUGUAUUUAUUCAAAUAUCAGACGAUAUCUACCGACCCCUUCUCUUGUCAGUAGUAUAAGCAGCAUAGUCAAUAGCGACUGUUAGUAAUAUUAGCGGCAUAGUCUGCUUGUCGAUAACGAUUGUUAUUAAUAUUAGUGGCAUAGUCUUGUCGAUAGCGAUUGUUAGUAACAUUAGCGACAUAGUCUGCAUGUCGAUAGCGAUUGUUAGUGGCAUACACGUAGUGCUUAACUUGUGGUUUCGGGUGUCAGAAGAGUGUAAUAUAAGCGGUGCCAGUUGAUAAGUCACGUGACCCUUAAUAAUCCAUUCUGUCCAUACCGCCCUCGUGGGGAUGUGUCGUCAGACGGUCCACGCACCACGGCCGUUGGCCACAAAGUGUUCACGCUGUGAAUGCUACGUAAGCGUUCACUCUGGAGACGCCAUGCAUGUGCAGUGCUGGUCUCCACCAUGAUCAUAUCGCCAGUAAAAGCCUUUACGGCGCGAACAGAAACAAUUGUCUACUAGAAGGUGGGGGUGGGUAGGAGAGGAAUCGUUCCCUGAUGACCUAUUAUCUCUUUCAAAGUUAGUACCAUCCUACAUGUAAACACAAUAAAAGUGCUUUAAUGCAUA
rnacentral:lncRNA from 1 species